GAUCCUGCUCAGGAUGAACGCUAGCUACAGGCUUAACACAUGCAAGUCGAGGGGAAACGAUAUUGGAAGCUUGCUUCCGAUAGGCGUCGACCGGCGCACGGGUGAGUAACGCGUAUCCAACCUGCCCACCACUUGGGGAUAACCUUGCGAAAGUAAGACUAAUACCCAAUGAUAUCUCUAGAAGACAUCUGAAAGAGAUUAAAGAUUUAUCGGUGAUGGAUGGGGAUGCGUCUGAUUAG
rnacentral:rRNA from 1 species